rnacentral:rRNA from 1 species
UACGUAUGUCGCAAGCGUUAUCCGGAAUUAUUGGGCGUAAAGGGAGUCUAGGCGGUCGAUUAAGUCUGAUGUGAAAAUGCGGGGCUCAACUCCGUAUUGCGUUGGAAACUGGUUGACUAGAGUACUGGAGAGGUGGGCGGAACUACAAGUGUAGAGGUGAAAUUCGUAGAUAUUUGUAGGAAUGCCGAUAGUGAAGACAGCUCACUGGACAGAUACUGACGCUAAAGCUCGAAAGCGUGGGGAGCGAACAGG